rnacentral:rRNA from 1 species
AGAACGAACGCUGGCGGCAGGCUUAACACAUGCAAGUCGAACGCCCCGCGAGGGGAGUGGCAGACGGGUGAGUAACGCGUGGGAAUCUACCCAGAACUUCGGAACAACUGAGGGAAACUUCAGCUAAUACCGGAUACGCCCUACGGGGGAAAGAUUUAUCGGUUCUGGAUGAGCCCGCGUUGGAUUAGCUAGUUGGUGGGGUAAUGGCCUACCAAGGCGACGAUCCAUAGCUGGUCUGAGAGGAUGAUCAGCCACACUGGGACUGAGACACGGCCCAGACUCCUACGGGAGGCAGCAGUGGGGAAUAUUGGACAAUGGGCGAAAGCCUGAUCCAGCCAUGCCGCGUGAGUGAUGAAGGCCUUAGGGUUGUAAAGCUCUUUCAGUAGGGAAGAUAAUGACGGUACCUACAGAAGAAGCCCCGGAUAACUUCGUGCCAGCAGCCGC